CCCUUAGAUGCUCUGGGCCGCACGCGCGCUACACUGGUCGAUGCAACGAGUUUCUUUCCUUGGCCGACAGGCCUGGGUAAUCUUUGAACGCUGUUCGUGAUUGGGAUAGACCUUUGCAAUUAUGGGUCUUCAACGAGGAAUUCCUAGUAAACGCAAGUCAUCAGCUUGCAUUGAUUACGUCCCUGCCCUUUGUACACACCGCCCGUCGCACCUACCGAUUGAAUGGUCCGGUGAAAUCUCGGGACGGCGGCUUGGUCGCUUGCGUCCGACUGCUGAAACUUGAUUAAACCAUAUCAUUUAGAGGAAGGUGAAGUCGUAACA
rnacentral:rRNA from 1 species